AACUAAGCGGUACAGAGCAUAGCGAGCCACCAAAGGACAUGUUGUUUUGUUGAGUAAGAAAUCCGCGAUAUUUAUUUAUUAAGAAUGUUCUUUAUGACUUUAGUAGCCUAUCCUCUGAUUAAAAAUACUGUACUGUGGUAAGUGCAGCAGAAUUCGUCGCUAUAUUAAUUGAUUAAAAAGUGAAGCGUCUGCUUCUAUUCAUUGAUUAUUUCCCCCGUUAACUACAUAAUACUUUAAAUCCUUCGCCGAUUCGCUCGUUUAGUGCCGAUUAUGGAUGCGCAGAAUUGCACCGUGCCCCGGGAGCAGCUGGAGCAGUGCAAACAGAAAGCCGGCAGGUGCAUCGACGAAGCGCAGAAUAGCCUCUUUCUCCUAAGCAAAGAUAUAUGGAGCUGCCCCGAGCUAGCUUAUGAAGAGAAGAAGUCCCAUGACCGACUGGUUCGCUUCUUUUCGGAGGAGAAGGGAUGGCACGUAGAGCGUCACUACACGCAGGAAACGGCAUUCCGGGCUUCCUGGGGGCCAGCCGGCGGAAAGGAAGGCGGCGACGUGCUCAAUAUCGCAUUUCUGUGUGAAUACGAUGCUUUGCCCGGAAUCGGACAUGCUUGUGGACACAACCUGAUCGCAGAGGUGGGAGCUGCCGCAGCGCUGGGAUUGAAGGGCGUUCUGGAGAGCAUGCCUGACUGUCCCGUGCGCGCUAAGGUGACGGUGCUGGGGACUCCGGCAGAGGAGGAAGGUGGGGGAAAGGUUGACAUGAUCCUGGCCGGAGCCUUUGAGGGGAUUGAUGUAGUUUUCAUGGCCCAUCCCUCCCAGGAAGACGCCCCCUAUCUCCCAGCUGUAGCAGUGGCAGACGUGACUGCGAAAUACUACGGCAAAGCAGCGCACGCUUCUGCCUACCCUUGGGAAGGGAUUAAUGCGUUGGAUGCUGCCGUCUUGGCCUAUAACAACCUGUCUGCACUGCGGCAGCAGCUGAAGCCCGAUUGGAGGGUCCAUGGCAUCAUCAAGCAUGGCGGCGUAAAGCCCAACAUCAUCCCAGAUUACACCGAGCUUGUGUUCUACCUGCGCACCCCAAAGCGGCAGGAUCUGUCCACCAUCAAGGCCAAGGCUGAGAUGUGCUUCCAGUCCGCAGCCAUGGCAACGGGCUGCCGUCUCGAGCUGGAGUAUUCAAAGCACGAGUACCACAGCAUCCUCCGUAACACCACCCUGGACCGCUUGUACGAAGAGAACGGCAAAGCCCUGGGGGUCCAGUUCACCACCGACCAAGAGGUUCUGAGCAGCUCUUCCGGCUCCACCGACUUCGGAAACGUGUCGUUCGUGGCACCAGGAAUCCACCCGUAUUUCUAUAUCGGUACGGCAGUGCUGAAUCACACGGAGGAGUACACCAUAGCUGCAGGAGCUGAAGAGGCCCAGUUUUACACACUGCGCACUGCGAAGGCCUUGGCGAUGACCGCACUGGACGUGCUCCUCUGCCCAGAACUGCUGCAGCGCGUCAGGGAGGAGUUUGCGGAGGCCAAGCUGAGUGAGCAGCGGGGGCAGCAACAGCAGGCAGGAGGAGCCGGCCCCGAGCCUCAACAGCGCCCCCAGCAGCCAGCCGGGGCCUCCUCGGCCUGAUGGUUACCCCAGAACAAGCUGCCUGCAGUCACGCCCUGUGCCUUUCCCGUCAGUAUAAGAGUGCCGUAGCUCCUCGCCGUGCUGAUGUCCAUGCUACCAUAUCUGCUGCACGGCAUCACCUGAUCAGGGUGGGCCAGACCGCAAGUGCAGGGCAACUGGAGAAGAAGCAGAGGGAGGUGCAGUGCGAGAAGCCAUCGGGAGGCGUAGUGGCAGGUGCAGUGCAAGGAGGUAGCAGAAGGAGGCAGCGAGAGGUGUGGUGGGAGGAGGCAAUGGGAGGUACAACAGGAGGAGGUACCAGGAGGUACAGUGGGAGAUACAGCAGGAGGAGGUGCAAUUGGAGGAGCUGCCUUACUCUAUCUCGAAGCGUCCUCACCCUGCGUUCCCGCACGGUGGUCAGGUAGUUGACAGCAGCGUAUUCUAUCACGGACAGGAAGACGAAGACGAAGCUGACCCACAGGAAAGGGCAGUUCUGGAGCAGCAGGACACUGCAGGCUUCGUGAGCAGCUCUUACAAGUUAUGUGGAUAACAGUCACUCCUGAGGUACCUUACCCAGCGGGACUCUGGCAGGGACGGCCCGGCGGUCAAUCCAGAAGGACACCCAGGAGAGCAUGACCAUCAGCGUGGCUGGAAAGUAGGUCUGCAGCAGGAAGAAGAAGAUGUGGCGACGCAGGGUGAAGCUGAUGUACAGCCGAUUGUACCAGCCUGCAAGGAGCAGCAGGGGAACCAAAGAAUCAUCAGCAGCCAUGCUUGGUGGCCAUGGUCAUCAGAGCGUUGUUGUGGAUGGGGGCGUAUUCACCAUGCUGUACCUGUGCUGCUGUAAAACGCCAGCUUGGUGCUGGUGUGGAACUUCUGGAUGAGAAACUGGGAGAGUGAGAUCUUAUCGUCUAUCCUGAGGGAAUCAUUGCCCUUCUUCCAGUAGAGCAUCAGGUCUUCAUCGGUGUAGGCAUCUGGAAUGGAGUCAUGGGCUCUCAGCGCUGGGGAGGGCAAAGGUGGGGGGCAACGCAGAUGGACCACGGACUUACAGCUUUCGAUCUCCAGGGAGCACGUCUGUGUGUCUAGGGGGAAGUGGCUGAGGUCCAUGUUGCACAUGGCGGUGACUGUAACCCUUGGCAACCAAAAAUCAGUGUCAUUCAACCAUUUGAGUAAAUGCUAUGAUCAGUGUUUUUUUUUUCCAACAUUCCAUCACUAUUUAAAAUAUUGUACUUUAUUGCUUGACCAAAACUGUUGGAAAACAGACAUCAUAUAGGGGACCCCCCCUACUAUUCACUAGCCUUAAGUAGAUGAAAGCAGUAAUGAUAACAGAACAUGACGCGUUAGCAGAAGGCAUUGGAGUUGUUGUGAUCCAGAGGUAAAGACGUGACAACAGGCCAAAUCUGCAGUUACACCUGGGGAAUAGACCAAUGAAGGUACAGAUACUGGGAAAUAAGAGUGUCACUCCUCCUAGGCGCUGGGCACCCCUGCCCUUGCAAACUCUAGACUGACUGUGAUCUGUGCUGAACGAAGCCCAGGAAAUAUGCCAGCUGUGUUUCACCUUCCUCUGGAAAGGGAUGGCUUAUCUGCCCAAUCCGCUGGCCAGAGACAAAGGCCAAUCCGUGACAUAAACUACACUGCAGUUACACAACUCGGAGGCUGCAGGAGACCGGUGAGGUCAGGUCCUGCUGACACCUGAACAUAACGCAGCAGGAAGAGUCGCCUCGGUGUCGUUAAUAAUGGAUCGGCCUGCCGAGUACCUCAGGCUGUAGAGGACGCUGCCGUCGGGACACACUCGCAGCAUGACGUUAUCUGUGGUGGUGGCAUGGAUGAAGGACCUCUUUGAGUGGACGAAGAAGAUGUCGGGGACCCAGAUCUUCUUCAGCAGCCGGCUGUCGAAUGUUAAACUCUGAUUGUUGGUGCUGGGAAAGGUCAGCCGCUCGUCUUUCCAAUAGUGCCGCAGGUACAGGGUCAUGGUGAAGUCCUGAAACACGCACACACACACACACACACACACACACACACACACACACACACACACACACACACACGCACACCUUUGUAUUUAUAUGUUUGUGAUGACUCUCCAUUCAUGUCCAUAGGCAUAGCCCUAAUCCCACCAAUGACAACCUACAAUAUACAUCUAUCUCAAUGUGUUUAAUGGUUUCUAAUAUAUUAAUUUAACGUUGCAUAACUUACCAAUUUAAUGGCUUAACAGAAUUAUCUGUUCUCAGCCAUAAGCACUGAGACUUGCGGUAAGUUAAUGUUCCGUAAGGGACACAACCUUAACAAUAUGUGUUGUUGAUGUAGCUCAUUAAUAAUGUGUUGUUAACAGGCUUUAAAAGACGGUCCAGUAAUUUUGGUAAUGCCUGGACUUACCAUAUCAACUUCAGAAAUCGUGUCGAGACUUUCAACUUGUACAUCAACGCCAACUGGAAUUGGGGGCCCUUUAAAAAUCACGAAAUGUUUCAACACGAUAACGGUAGAAGAGAACGGUGUUUUCUUAAUGCAUGAGAGAAAUACGAAGAAGAGUGCUGGAUCAGAACCGAUAAUGAAACAAUCACAAAAACAAAUACAGAAUUACCUUCUGGCUGUGAAAAGGAGUUUCAAGUCUGGGGAGUAUUUACUAUUUAUAUAUUUUUUUGCGUUUUUAAAAAAAUGUCUGUCAAAAGCUGCUUGGGAAUUGCGCUGAGGGGGAGAGCAAACGUUGUGUUGGAGUUCGGUCACCGCGCUGUAUGUUACAGUAAACCACAGUUGCCAAGAUGAAGCUGAUGUGGCCGUGAUUCCUUCACAACCGUUUGACAUCCGCUACACCCUGAAUAGGACAAGUGGUUACAGAGAUUGGAUGCAUGCAUGGAUGGAUGGAUGGAUAUCAGACUGGACCAAUCAAACAGCCAAUCCCCAGCCUCCCUCUAUGCUGGACUGCACGUGCUGCAAAUUCAGCAGUAAGGCAGAGAUCAUCAACAUUUCCUCUAGGUGGGAUGCAGGGAGAUGUCAGUCUGAAAACGAGAGGCACUCACCCCCGAAGCCAGGCCUCAUGGUGAAGUCGUGCUCUCUGAUCCUUAAAGUCUGCUCGGACUUCGUCGUGCGGGACUUGGUCAUGUCCGGACUUCUCCUCCGGAUGGGACUGCGGGGAAGGGGAGACGGAGUUCAGGAUGCAGGUCCUCCUAGAAGAGGUGUGUCUUCACACGACGCUUGAGGACAGGAAGGGAAGAGGAAGUUUGUUCCACCACUGAGGCGCCAACAUUGCAAAAAGUCUUGAUGCACGUCGUUCUCUCUUAAGUGUUGGCGGUUCGAGGCGAGCAGUGCUUGAUGCUCUGAGAGGAUGAGAAGUGACACGAUUCUUGAUCAAUGCUGCCAAGUAAGGAGCUGUUCCAUUCUUGGUUUUAAAGGCAAGUGUUGGGGAUUUGAACCCGAAGAGCACGGAAGAGCCGGGGCCCCACGUCCUAAUGACAGCCGUACCCCCACUCCAGCCGGGGGAGGAGGGAGGUCCCAGAUGCAGCCCCUGCAGCCAAAAGUGCAUGAGAACCAGAGGCAACAGGCAGCCGACCCCGUGAGGGCGUGGCCGCUCCUGUACGAGCCAAGGCCAGGGCCCCUAGGACCCCAGGUGGCUGGGGGCCAAACAGCGCCCGAUAGAGAGCCCCACCCAUGCCAGAGAGGCCCAAGCCCCCCUAGGCCACCACCCUGAGGAAAGGGGCCAGCAACCAUGCCCAGGAGACCAACCACAUCCAGGACGGAGCAGCACCCAGGCCCCCACCAUCCACACAGACACCCCGCAAACACACCGGUCAGCCAUGCACAUAGACCAUACACACAUCCCCACAACAUACAGACACCCACACACAGAGACAAACUCUCCUCCCUCAUACACCUGUGUGAGAGGUAGAGUGUUGGAUGCGUGUGGAGAUGUAUGUGACUGUAUGUAGUGUAGGGGUGAGUAUGACUGUUGAGAAACUAAGAUGAAUUUAAAAUUGACGGGGGAAUUUUCAUGAGAAAGGGACAAAUCCUUCUAAUGUUGUAGAGCGGGUACCUGCAGGACUUGGACAGACUGUUAAUGUGUGACGAGAAUGAUAAUUCGUCAUCCAGAAUGACACAGAGAUUUCUUACUGCUUUUGGGGGGACAAUAAGAGAGUUUUAGAAGGAAAUUGUAAGGUCAAGAACCGGUGAUGAAUUGCCUUUGGUGUACAGCAGUUCAGUCUUACUGGGGUUUAGCUUGAGGUGGUUGGAUGUCAUCCAAGAGGAGAUAUCAGUCAGACAGUCUGAGAGUCGAGUUGAGACCUAAUGGUCAUCGGGUGGAAAGGAACGAAAGAGUUGAGUGUUGUCUCCGUAACAGUGGUAGGAGAGCUCAUGUGCAGACAUGACCUUCCCAAGAGAACCCAUGUAUAAGGAGAAGAGAAGGCCACCCUUCCUGGGGCUGACUGGGAGCCUUGCCAUGCCACCUGAAAUGACCAGUUAUCGAGGUAAGAUGCAAACCAUCGCCAGACUGUAUCUGAGAUCCCACGGCUGGAGAGAGUAUCCAAGAGGAACUGAUGGCUGACCAUGUGAAAGGCUGCAGACAGGUCCAAGAGAAUCAGAAACAAGCACAGGCUGGAGGAUUUGGCUCCACGACGUUUUUCAGAGAUGGCGAGAAGUGCAGUCUCAGUGGAAUGUUCCGCUUUGAAUCCAGACUGAUGAGGGUCACCAAGUGCAUUUUCAGAGAGGAAGGCGUUACGUUGGUUAUAAACCGCUCGUUCUAAUACUUUUGACUCGCACAUAACGUAGAAUCAUAUCAUGGAAUUCUGCGGACCGCUUUUCAAGUAUACCUGUUGUAAUGGCAGUAAAUGUUAUAUUGUGUUAGGUUUUGACACUGAAUUAGCUUCAGCGAUGUGUUUUUUUCCAGUAAUUUUAAAUGCCACACCACAAAAUGCAGAGUAUGAUCACAGUGUGAUGGCCCAUACAGGACGCACACCAAGCCUUUGCCCCCCUUGCAGAUUAUAUGGCUUAAAUGCAAUGAACCUGAUAAAUAAUCACUCACUCCAUGUCAAUAGGAACUCCACUGUAUAACAAUCCACUUCAUCUUCCUCAUUAAACUCAAAAAAUUAACAUGGCGACCCCCCAGGUUAGAGCACACCAUUCCCUGGCAUUACUCUAUCCAUUACUCUAUCCAUCUGUCAGGAUGCAUUCAAUAUUUUUAACUCGGAAAUGUCCAAUACCACAGUAAGUGCAUGUACCCCUGGAGAUUUACAUGAUCUGCUAAAUCGAUGAUAUUAUUACAGUGGAGAGUCCUUCUGCCAUAAACCAGCAGCUGGCGAUGGUCAGCGUGUGCGUCUCUUGAAAGCAGGCCUCCUCUGUGUUCACACUCUUGAGAGCAGGCCGCUUCUGUGUUCAGACGCUUGAGAGCAGGCCGCUUCUGUGUUCACACGCUUGAGAGCAGGCCGCUUCUGUGUUCAGACGCUUGAAAGCAGGCCUCCUCUGUGUUCUGAAGCUUGAGAGCAGGCCGCUUCUGUGUUCAGACUCUUGAGAGCAGGCCUCUGUGUUCAGAAGCUUGAGAGCAGGCAACUUCUGUGUUCAGACGCUUAAGAGCAGGCCGCUUCUGUGUUCAGACGCUUGAGAGCAGGCCGCUUCUGUGUUCACACGCUUGAGAGCAGGCCUCCUCUGUGUUCACACGCUCGAGAGCAGGCCGCUUCUGCAUUCAGACGCUCCAUCAGCUCUGGUUUGACUUACCUGCCAGACUUGUAACUUGUGACGCACUUUUCAGAUUCUGUCCUCAGUCUGCUUGUAGAGAUAAGAAGUUUAAUGUGCUGAGAUCCUCCGAGUCACAUUUACCAGGCAAAAAUUAAAGCUGACAAGGACACUAUUAAAAGAUUUUCGAAAAGUUCUCGGACAGGGUCAUAUAGUAGUAUUCCAUUUUGUAAUGAAAGCACAUAUAUUGAAAGACAGGAACAGAUGCAUUUUAAAUGAACAUCUACACCAUGUCUUUCUAUUAUAGAUUAAGAUGCAGGAUAGAAGUGUUCACCCUACUGUAACAGUGAGGGGUCAGAGGGGAGAUUAUUCCCAGCACCCUGGACAGGAUACCAGUCCAUGGCAGGGCACGGGGCUGGGGUACACCCUGGGUGAAAUGCCAGUCCAUCACAAUUGCUAUAAUGUUCCAUAGUUCAGCUCUGGACGUAUGUGGAUCUCAGAACAAUGUCUCAGUUGGUCACAACCAAGCUAUACUGGCCUCCGAACAUCACAAAGCAUCAGUCUGUCAAUCUCCUGGGGGAGGGGAGAGGGGGUCAUUGGUGGUGCAGUUAGUGGGCAGGCAAUCUCUCCCAAUUAUAUUUUCUAAAUGUAGAAAUUCUAGAUAAUUAAUCCCGGGGAAAUUUAUUUAAGUAUCCAUAGAAUUAACCACAAAAUAAUUUAAGAGCGCAACACUCUUCGUGAAUUCACGCAUAAUUAGUAAACAUUGUGGAGUCUAAAUGAAACAUUUAUUGUGAGACAACCGUAUGAUGACGUUCUUACAUUGUUAAAUACGUGUGAUAAAACACUACAAUUCAGGCGUAGCCUAUUAUACAAAACUGAUAUUUUACUGGACAGUAAGUAUAAAAUAUUCUGGCUAUUUAUAAUUUUGAAUAGCAACAAUGCGCAACACAGUCACUGCACAUAACCACCAACCCAGGUUAAUCUAUUUUUCAGAAAUAUCUGUCAUUUACCGGAACAUAUUGUCCACUACGAUAAUAUUUCAAAUACAGCAUGUCAGAAAUCCGUGGAGUGUUAUCUGGCUCCUACAGAGGGAUCAAUAUGGAUCUUUGGGACAAACUCCACACACUUCUGACGUUCAUGGAGCGAAAGGCGUUCUCCUCACCUGCUCUGGCCAUAGGUUGCCAGCCGGCGGCCCUCACGCCGGUCGGAUCUGCCCGCCGAGACAAGCGCACACAUGCAGACCAGCAGCAAGGUUUCCCUUUGCAUCCUGCCGACACACGCGGAUGGAGUCUGAUAAAAAGCUGUGCAGAAGCUUAGAUCGUGCAGGAUACGACACUAUGGAGACCGGCAAAGUCGCGUACAGAAACGUGGAACGAUAUUUAAUCUUCACCCUGGAAAUAAAAUUCCACUAAAUCCACAAAUCCUCCAUGUCAGAUGGCAGGGAUUUUCGCUUCCAAAGAUUUGUCCUCGCAGGUUAAUAGGUGAGCUGUGGGUCAUGACAGACGCAGCUAUUUGUGUCUUAUCCUUUUCUUUUGCGCGGUUUUACCUUUAUUACAGUGCGACGUUAUUCAUGCACAUGUGUUUCACGUGUAGUAAAACAGUCUUACUCUUUAGAGGUGUCCAUACACACGUUAACACUUUAUCUACAGGUUAAAUACACGGUUGCUGUUGUUGCUGAACUACGAUUCAGAACUUUUUUAAUGAAGAGACCUAAUUUUUGGUUCUUGGAUCGCACGCGGAAUGGUUAAAAAGGUGGAGUAAUUGAAGUCUGUCCUAAUUCAGUUGCAAAACUAAUCUUAUUGAACAACAACCCGAUAACGGAUUUUCGGCUUAUGGCUAAUAAAUUUAAUUUGGUUUGGCU